GGGGAAUGCAGGCUCUGGGCUCAUCUCUUACCACAUGCCCUUCCCCCACCCCACCCCUAUUUCCCUGCAGAUGAACCAAAUUAAACUGCACAGCCUCAAAGGGAGAGGUUGCCAAAAGACAGUCUGAGGGGAAAUGGGAAGAAGCAAUCCCCAUUCUGCUUUAGGGCUGGGGACAAAAGGGUUCCUUCUUCCUUGAAUACUGUUAAUCACAGGCCUUUUGGGGGCCCUGCUGGAGACAUCCCAUGGGCUGUCCUCUAAAUCACAUGAGAUGACUCGUCUCCACCCACAUCAGCCACCCUGCUUUCCACACUGUGGAAACUUCUCUGUUCUUCUCUGACAAUUGAAUGCCAAAAUUUUUGAGGUUCUUUCCUGCCAAUAAAUUCUGUUUUGUUCCAGGGGAAAUAGGAGUCUACCAUAAAUGCUUUAUUUGUAUGCAGUAUUUAUAGUGUUCGUCCACCUAAGUAUGAUCAGUGUUUUCCUUUUCACAUCCAGCCAGCCAUCCUGGGUCUUCUUGCAGGACGGACAGUCUGGAGGCACUGAAACAGGUGCAGGAGAUAGAGAGGAUGUCCCCUGGCACUAAGACAGAUCGCAUUUGACCCCACUGUUCUCUGUCAGUGGAUGGGGAAGGCACAUUUUAACAAGAGUGGGGAUCUCUCUCAGGUUCUUUGAGGUGCCGCCACUCCUGCUCUACCGGCAAACCUAACACCUAUUCAAUAUCAUGCCCGUAAGGUAUGAACACUGGGGACUAAUCGAGAAGAGCAGUGAAGGGGAAACUGAGGCAAGGGCCAAGGCCAGGCCGGUGGGUAUUGCUGCUUCCAAGGCAGCUGGGGAGGAGAGAUCCCAUUUCCUGAGCUAAGCUUGUUCCAUUUCAGUUUGAACAGAUGGAAAUAUAGUUCAAUGUUUCAACAUCAUUUGCCUUUCUCGUGCUAAAAUAUUGAUAAGUGCUGCCCGGGCUGAUGCCCCCGCAGUUCCGAGCAGUAACUAGAGCAUGAUGUGUACUGAAGUGAGACAUGGCAAAGCCUUUAACGAGUGUUUAAAAUUCCUGGAAUAAUGCUCAACACUGGCUCGGCUCGUUCGGCUCCUGAAAACUGUCCCCCCUCCGGGUCGCCCUCUAAUCGGCAGGAGGAGUGCGAGCACAGCCCUGCCCCCCUGCUGGUGGCAAUUAGUGCGGCAGCUGCUCGUCUUCAGGACGGGAAACAAUGCAGGGGGUGCCUGCAUCUGCCCAGGCGGCUGAGCCAGGCAGGGAGGCUGGCGCACCGGGGAGGCGAGGACACAGGGAGCUGGCUCCUCCACCUGCAGGGGGCUGUCACACGGAACUCAGACCCCAGGGAGAGGGAACACUGGGUGGGGCCCUCCAGAAAGGCAGAUGAGGGAAGGGCAAGAAAAGAGGGAAGAACGCUGGGCACGGUGGCUCACGCCUGUAAUCCCAGGACUUUAGGAGGCCGCCAUGGGUGGAUCACCUGAGGUCAGGAGUUCAAGACCAGCCUGGCCAACAUGGUGAAACUCUGUCUCUACUAAAAAAAAAAAAAAAAAAAAAAAAAA
rnacentral:lncRNA from 1 species